GGCGCAGUGGUGAAAUUGGCAAACACGCUGGAUUCAAAAUCCAGUGCUCGAAAGAGUUUACGGGUUCAAGUCCCGUCUGCGCUAC
rnacentral:tRNA from 1 species